AAUUACAGGUAACGAGAGGACAGAAAGCGAUGCUGCCGUAACAGCCCGCAGCCUUCUGAUGGCCUUGCUCCGUGCCCGUGGGCGAGGCACUGUGCACUUUGUUCGUGUGUGUGAGUGCCAUUUCCAGCCUGUCUCCUGCAGUGGAGACAGUACACAGUUGAUUCAUACUGUCAAGCUCUCAGCCAGCACGACUGCUAUGUAGGAACCCAUAUACCUGCCAGGUGCCUGGCGCAGAACAUAAUGCGAAAGAAAUGGACAAAUGAGUGUGAGUCACGAAGUCUGAUUCACUCCCCAGAGAAGACUCCUUGAUUCUAUCAUCUCAAACAACAAGCUAGGCAGUUAAACCAAUAAAAGUUGUAAGAGAAAAGCUGGCUUCGUUUUAGAAUAGGCGAUUCCAUAUCAUCAACUACCGAAAGAAUCAUUACAGCUUUAGACAGAAAUCUUAGGAGAAAGCCGCACUCUGGACUUCCUGAAAGGCUGAAAUGAACUGCCAGUAUUUCUGCACUGUGGUUUGUUUUGUGCUUAGUAUAAUGGCAUCACUAUAUAAGGAAGAACACGCAUCACUUUCUGGGGAGAAGACAAUGAAUCUUUCAUGAUGCCAGCCAGACGAGGAAUCUGUCUGAGCUCCCACGUGGGAGCUGGUUGACUGGGUCCCAGAGGCUGGCCAGAGCUGGCUUCCAGACAGCUCUCUUCCUGUUUAAGCACCACGCAGCCACCCCCAACUACUCUUGCAAGACAGCGCUCUUUGUUCUGUCAAUUUCUCAUUCUUUUUUCCUGUGCUUUUUAAAACUGAAAAAUGAACCUGGAAGAAAAAAUAACUGAUCUCUAAUUGGAAAUCACAACCACCAAUUACAAAACAGGACAAAAUGCCUUACACAGCAAAAAAGUAAAAAGAAAAAAAUUCAUACAGACGCAGCAAAAUGCCCUAACCUGAAAACAACACUUACAUUAUCCUACAACAGCUUGUUGAAGACACUGGGGCAGAACCGCCUGGGGACGGGAGGGUGCCCUGCGGUUGUUGACACAAGCACCGUCCAGAUGUCCUCAACUUUAGGACAGUGCUCAAAACAGGGCAGGUCCGGGAGUUGCAGGAAUUUGCUUGUAGAUUCUCAGGACUUAAAGGAUGAUCAAGCUUGCUUCUGGGGAAGAGAGCCUGGGUCUGGAGUUGGAGAGAAAGACCAGCACUGCAUCUUGGGCAUCGUUUUGCAUGUUGAACAAUUUGAAUAUAUCAUCUAGUAGCGAUAAUUAAUUUAAGUGAAAAUUGUUUUCAAAAGUGUUUGAUACCACUUGUAGUGAAUCAAACAGCACCUCCUGCUAAAGCUAUGUCUUUAAAACCCGAGUAUGUGACCCUACCGGAAACAGGUCUUUGCAGACGUGAUGGAGUUAGUGAUGUCGUGAUGAGAUGGUCCUGGACUAGGGGGUGAGAAUGCAUUUCUGUUGCUUGAAGCCACCAAGGCUGAGAGUUUGUUACAGCAGCCCAGGGAAGUGACACUCCCACUUUUGCCCCUAAAUCAUCUUGGCUUCUAGCCAGGAUCACUAAGUUCUUUCCUUCCUUACUUUCCAUCUUAAACUUGUGCCCAUUUGGAAUGAACCAGGGGGGCACUCUGUAAAGCCGAUCAGCUCAUAAGGCACAAGAAUAAAACAUGAUCCAACAGCUGCUUACCCAGCCUCUCCAAAGCACAGCCAGAGAGCUGCUGUGUCAGGGGAAGGAUUUUACUCUCAAAACAGGUCUUUUUCUCAUUCUUCCCAAAGAAUAAAUUCCUUUAUCAUGAUGAAAAAAACGAUUCAGUGAGUUCUUAAGACUUCACAUUUUAAGUUUAGGGAGAGCCCAUUGUUUGAAGAUUUAAAUUUUGCAGCAACCACAAAAAGCCAAAAACAGCCCAAGUGCCUGUGGGAGGAAGGAUGGGGUCCUCGUUGGGAGGAGACAGAAGAUGGAAGGAAACUUCUCAAACAACUGCCUGGUGUGUGAUUUGAUAAAGAAAUACAGGUGGAGAGGACAGUACAAGCUGGGGAUGGGCAGAAACCACGGUCUCCUUUAUUAUGCUUUAAUUUUUAUUUUUAAUUGGAGGAUAAUUGCUUUGCAAUGUUGUGUUGGUUUCUGCCACACAGCAGUGUGAAUCAGCCGUAAGUAUAUGCACAGCGCCUCCCUCCUGACUCCCUCCCACCCCUCCCCUAUCGCUCCCCUCUAGCUCUUGUGCGCUCUUUAACUUCUGUUUACUUACUGACUCUGGCUUUUUUGGUCGCACUGGGUCUUCGUUGCUCUGUGUGGGCUCUCUCCAGUCUGGGUAAGCGGGGGCUUCUCAUCACUGCGGCACCUUCUCGUCAGGACGCACAGCUCUAGGCUUACUGGCUUCCGAAUUUGCAGCAUGUGGGCUUCGUUGCUCUCAGGCAUGCGGAAUCUUCCCGGACCAGGGAUUGAACCCAUGUCCCCUGCGUUGACAGGCAGAUUCUUAACCACUGGACAGCUAAGGAAGUCCCCACUUCAUCUUUUAAGAUUAAAGAAGUACAGAAGGG
ensembl:lncRNA